rnacentral:rRNA from 1 species
AGAGCGAACGCUGGCGGCAGGCCUAAUACAUGCAAGUCGAGCGGGUGUAGCAAUACACCAGCGGCAGACGGGAGAGUAACACGUGGGAACGUGCCCUUCAGUUCGGAACAACCCAGGGAAACUUGGGCUAAUACCGGAUACGUCCGUAAGGAGAAAGAUUUAUCGCUGAAGGAUCGGCCCGCGUCUGAUUAGCUUGUUGGUGGGGUAAUGGCUCACCAAGGCGACGAUCAGUAGCUGGUCUGAGAGGAUGAUCAGCCUCACUGGGACUGAGACACGGCCCAGACUCCUACGGGAGGCAGCAGUAGGGAAUAUUGGACAAUGGGCGCAAGCCUGAUCCAGCCAUGCCGCGUGGGUGAUGAAGGCCCCAGGGUUGUAAAGCCCUUUCGGCGGGAAGAUAAUGACGGUACCGCAGAAGAAGCCCGGCUAACUUCGUGCCAGUAGCCGC